ensembl:rRNA 5S_rRNA 5S ribosomal RNA
CCAGGCGGUCGGUACCACCCUGAACGCGCCCGAUCUCGUCUGAUCUCGGAAGCUAAGCAGGGUCGGUCCCGGUUAGUACUUGAAUGGGAGACCGCCUGGGAAUACCGGGUGCUGUAGGCU